GAUGCGUCUUAACCCUCUGAGCUAAGUGGGC
rnacentral:tRNA from 1 species